rnacentral:misc_RNA from 1 species
GUAGAAUUGUAAGUUCUGAUGGUAUCUUUAGAAACAUAGUGGAUGACAUUAAGCAUGGGAUUUUAGGUGGACCAACAGUAAAAAUAAUUCUUGAUGAUUUCUACAAGUCCAUCUGUACUAGGCAGGAGUCAACUUAGCUGUUCAGAGUUAGUAUUUCUAUUAGCUUCCUGCUUCUGCAAUGUGGCCCUCCUGCUUGGUGUUAUAUUGCAAAAGAAAAAAACUCGUUCAUGCUCUCUGCGCCUCUGCCCCCACCAACCCCCCAACACACAUACAAGAAAGGGGGAAAAAUAACUUAUACAUCCAGCAAAACAAGCAAGCACACACCCACAUAAAAAAUAUGGUGCUUGCCUUAUUCAUGUAUUCACCUUCAAAUAUAUUGCAUUACUA